rnacentral:pre_miRNA from 1 species
AGAUGCAUUACUGGGCAAUUCCUCUUUUGGCAGAAGUUGCAAUGCAUUAUAUGGAUGCCCUCUGAAUGGGUCGGUCAAUAUUUGUAUUACUCGUGCUGCCAAAGGAGAUUUGCCCGGCAAUUCAUCU